rnacentral:rRNA from 1 species
GACAGAGGGUGCAAACGUUGUUCGGAAUUACUGGGCGUAAAGCGUGUGUAGGCGGCUUUGCAAGUCGGAUGUGAAAGCCCCGGGCUCAACCCGGGAAGUGCACUCGAUACUGCGAAGCUUGAGUGUCGGAGAGGUUGGUGGAAUUCCCGGUGUAGCGGUGAAAUGCGUAGAUAUCAGGAAGAACACCCGUGGCGAAGGCGGCUCUCUGGAACGCAACUGACGCUGAGACGCGAAAGCGUGGGGAGCAAACAGG